rnacentral:lncRNA from 1 species
UCUCCCGGAGGCGCAUGAUGUCCUCGGCCAGGUUGUCGCGCUCCACCUCGACGCGGGCUUUGUCGUUGGUUAGCUGGUCCACCUGCCGGCGCAGCUCCCGCAUCUCCUCCUCGUAGAGGUCCCCCAGGCGCGACUUGCCUUGGCCCUUGAGCUGCUCGAGCUCGGCCAGCAGGAUCUUAUUCUGCUGCUCCAGGAAGCGCACCUUGUCGAUGUAGUUGGCGAAGCGGUCAUUCAGCUCCUGCAGCUCCACCUUCUCGUUGGUGCGGGUGUUCUUGAACUCGGUGUUGAUGGCGUCGGCCAGCGAGAAGUCCACCGAGUCCUGCAGGAGCCGCACCCCGGGCACGCUGCUCCGCAGGCGCACGGCAGAGGAGCGCGUGGCAUACACGCCGCCCGGGGACGAGGCGUAGAGGCUGCGGCUGGUGCUGGGGCGCAGCGCGCUGCCCAGGCUGUAGGUGCGGGUGGACGUAGUCACGUAGCUCCGGCUGGAGCUCGGCCGGCUCGCGGUGCCCGGGCCGCCGAACAUCCUGCGGUAGGAGGACGAGGACACGGACCUGGUGGACAUGGCUGCGGAGGGUGGCGAUGGCCUGGGCGGCGGCGGUGGCGCGGACUGGCUCCCGGAGAAGAGGCGAACGAGGGCGCGACAGCAAAGCUCCCUUUGGAUGACAUAGAUUUAUUACUUAGUAGUAUAUUAUGUAUUGGCUGUCCCACAUUUUGAAAUUUAAUGGACUCGUGGUGAUCAGAAUAAAAGAAGCCUUCGAUGUGAGGCCCAGGCAUUGAGUACCAUGUGUGCGAUUCACAAGCCUUGGCAUCUGAACAAUUUUUUGGAAGGAUCCAUCAGGACAACACGUCGGGGGUGUACUAGUGAAGUGAUUUUCCAAAUGUGCUACUCAGACCUGUAGCAUCAGCAUCACCGGAUAUACAAGACUUACCAGGUGAUUCUGAGAACCACUGUGCUAGUGAAUUGUUCCUGUCUGUGGCCACGUAGAAUAAGAAAACCAUAGGGUUGGAAAAUGGGGAAACUGGUGAGUGUUCGCUUAUGAGGAAAUGAAGAAUAGAUAGAAAAGAAUUAGUUAACUUUUGGAAUUCAAAAGAGAAGCAGUUUGUAAAAGCCAGGAAUUUGAUUUGAAGGACUAAUUGCUUGCAGAAUCUUUGCUUUCUCAGAGAGGGGCAAUCCAGAUCACUAGGUUACCGUGAAAUAUGUUGGUAUGGCUCUAAAAUUCUAGAAUAAUCUCUCUAGUGAGAAAAGGCAUACCUUUCCAUAUUAGGACAAAACUUCAAAUCAGGUUUGUAAAAUCCUAUAAGAUUAUUGUAUCCCAUUGCCAUGGCCAACUUGUUUGUCUCUGGAGAUCCCAGUUUCUACAUCUGAAAACCAUAUGCAUUCCUGCUCACCAGGAAUUAUCUCGCUGAAUGAAGCAAGAGAUUCAGGAUGUGUAAGAGAAUUUAUGAAGCAUUUGGAUUACCAAGAAAUGUGAAGUAUAAAGAUCAAGAAUGAUUAUUACAAACACUGAUGGUAAAGAGGUGUUUCGAAGUCGAUGCAAAAAAUGAGUUGCUUAUUUCAGUCUCUCUUUGAUAUAUCUGCCUUUUUAGUGCUGACUCUAUCAUGUAUUCACUAUUUGAUUUUCAGUGAAUCACAUUUUUUAAAGCUUUUAAUCUGUUUCCUCAAAAAAUAUAUUUUUUAAAAAUAUUUACUCAGGAUUGUUGUGAGAAUAAAAUUGAUUCGAUUGAUAUUUCAAAAAAGAAAUAUAUUUUUAAAAAAUAAAGCAAUACCAUUUUUGGA